UAGUCCACGCCGUAAACGAUGCAUACUCGCUGUUGGCAAGUUAUAUUGUCAGUGGCCAAGCGAAAGUAUUAAGUAUGCCACCUGGGGAGUACGUCGGCAACGAUGAAACUCAAAGGAAUUGACGGGGGGCCCGCACAAGCGGAGGAACAUGUGGUUUAAUUCGAUGAUACGCGAGGAACCUUACCUGGGCUUAAAUGUAGGAUGCAUAGAGUGGAGACAUUCUUUUCUUCGGACUUCUUACAAGGUGCUGCAUGGUUGUCGUCAGCUCGUGCCGUGAGGUGUCGGGUUAAGUCCCAUAACGAGCGCAACCCCUAUCGUUAGUUACCAUCAGGUCAUGCUGGGGACUCUAGCGAGACUGCCGGUGUAAACCGUGAGGAAGGUGGGGAUGACGUCAAAUCAGCACGGGCCCUUACGCCCAGGGGCUACACACGUGUUACAAUGGUAGGUACAGAGGGGCA
rnacentral:rRNA from 1 species